CAGAGAGGGGCAAGAGUUUUGAUGUAAACGGCCACGGUCAUCCCUUUGAAAUGUCUUUUGUUAAAGUGGCAUUGUCCUUAUUAAUAGUACUCAAGUUAAUAGACAACAAGUUGAGUGGAAUUGGCUGUUAAUUUAAAAAGAUUGACUAGUAUAAUAGUUAUUGAAGAUAACUUCUAUUGAAAAUUGUUAAGGACAAAGAAACUGCCUAACAUAUGAAAAUACUGUCUCACACUUUUUAUCAAUUCAACAGUAAAAAUACAUACCAAUAGAUUUUUUUAGAAUUGGCUGUGAGUAACAUUGGUUAAUAUUUCUAAAUUACAUUGAAAGCAAUUAUGGCAAAAUAUGAUUCAUGUUAUUUUAACUUUACACCCACCAUUUACAUUUGGAUGGGAAUUAGGUCACUUAAUGAUAAUAUAAGUUACGUAAUUCAUUGAAAUGCUUUUAAAAUAUUGCUAAUUCUGCAUUUAAAUGAAUUUCCAUAUAUGUGUGAUAGAUCUAUUAUGAUCAUUUCUUUUGCAAAAACUGCAUGAUGCAAUUUACUUUUCCUUUACAGAUAAAUGGAGACACAUAUGAAAAUGUGAACAAAGAAUUGAAAAAAACAGAGGCCAGAAAUCUAAGUCCUGUCUAUAAACUUUUAUGUAAUUAUAAAAAAGAAGGCAUGAUUAACUAUAUGAGUUAAGGUCAUUUAUGACUUGUAGUCAGUGUCAACUGGUGAACUUGAAGAAACGCUCCAUGGGAUUGUUAUGUCCAGUUAUGAAGACAGUUCAAAUUUAUAGCCACUUUUUUAUAUUUAUAUCUUUAUCUUAAUUUGAAGAUAAUCUAUACUUAUGCCCUUCGCCAUGUUAUGGCAGGGUCAUAUAGUGUUUUCAGUUUCUGCAAUAUAACUUUUUUAUUAGCUCACCUGAGGACAAUGUCCUCAAGGUGAGCUUUUGUGAUGGCCCAUUGUCUGUCCUCCAUCGUCCAUGUGUGCAUGUGUCAACAAUUUCUUUAAAUUACUUCUCCUAAACCACAUGGCCAAAUUUGUUGAAAUUUUGCGGGUAUGUUUCUUGCAUGAAGCUCUACCAAAGUUGUUCAAAGAAUUAAAUUCAUUAUUUUACAAAAAUCUUCUCGUAAAAAAACGAAAGUGCUAGAGCUUAGAUAUUUGGCAUGAAACAUCUUCAAGUGAAUGUCUACCAUAAAUAAAUGAAUAGAAUAAAAAUUGGCCCUGCCCCAGGGUCAUUGAUUUUCCUUAUAUGUAUAAAGUAAAAACUUAAAGUAUCUUCUUGUGAAAAUUUAUAAUAGGUAGAGCUUAUACAAAAAAAUAAAUUAAAUUUUAUAUGAUAUACAUGCGAUUAUAUUUGCUUUACAGGGAUUCUUAUUUUAUUUACAAAAAAUAUUUAAAGGAACUAUGCUCAUUUGCAAUUGGUUAGACACAGUUAUACAGUAUAUAUGUUAAGACACAAUGGUAUAUAGACAGAUAGAUGGUAUUUAAAUUUUAACUUUCUAUGAUACUGUUAAGAGACUCCCUGUCAUAUGUGACUUUUUUCUGAAGGCCCCUAGGAAAGUCAUAUAUGACAGUCUUGACUGUAUUUAGCAUGAAAUAUCUUCCAGUGGAUGUCUACCAAGUUUUUAAAUGCCCUAGGGUCAAAAUUGGCAGUGCCCCAGGCAUUCCUAAUAUGUAUAUAGUAAAAACUUAUAAAAUCUUCUUGUGAAAAUAAAAAAAAAAGAUAAAGCUUAGAUAUUUGGCAUGAAACAUCUGCUAGUGGAUGUCUACCAAGUUUUCAAAUAAUUGCCCUAGGAUCAAAAUUGGCCUGGGGCCAGGGGUCAUUGAUUUUCUUAAUAUAUGUAGAGUAAAAACUAAAAAAAUAAUAUCAUUGUUUGUUCAAAUAAAAGCCCUAGGGUCAAAAUUGACCCUGCCCCAGGGAUUAUGAUUUUCCUUACAUAUUCAUGUAUAUAGUAAAAACUUAAAAAAAACUUUCUUGUGAAAAUCCCUAAGAUCCAAAACUGAGAUAUUUGGCAUGAAACGUGUUCUAGUGUAUGUCUACAAUGUUUGUUGAAAUAAAACCCCUAGGGUCAAAAUUGGCUCCGCCCCAGGGGAUCAAGGUCGACAGUUCAUUCCCUAGCCAGGUCAAAUGUUUGUUUUUUUCCCCUUUCUUUUUCUGUCAUCUUUUUAUUAGCUCACCUCUCAUUUAGUGACAGGCUGAACUGUUUAAUAAAAUGGCUGCCAGAGUUAAAAUUAUAAAACAACAACAUCUUAAUUCUUAACCACUGGUUAAGUUUUGAAAUAAUUUUACACAAAAAUUUCCUUGAUGACAGUGUGCAAACUGUUUUCAAAUUUAGCUGUCCGUUGUUUCCAAUUGUGCAAAUUUUCAAAUUUGACCGUUUGACCUAUUUCUCAGGUGAGCUAUCCAUGGCCCUCUGGGUCCUCUUGUUAUAACAAUUAAUGUUAUGUGAUAAAUAUUUUAACAUGUGAUUUGUUUUUAAACCAGAUGUGGCACAUGAUUAACAUUAUAGUAGGAAAAGUUUUUUUAUCAAGUGAUGUAAUGUAAUUAUAUUUUUAAAAGUAAUUAUUUAUAACAAAUGAUGUUAAUAUUUUAAAAAGAAAAUUUCUCAUGUGAUAAAUAGCUAAACAAGUGGCAAUAAAGAUGUUAAGUGAGAUGUUGAUAAAUAGGGGAUAAUGUAAAAAUGUAGUUAGUCAUGUAAGAACUGGUUUGUUUACUAGCAUGCUUUAGAUGUUUUAAAUAAAAGAAAUUUUUGUAAUUUUAAAUAAUUCGGGAUUUCUUUUAGCUCACUUGCCACUAUGUGACAUUUUAAUAUGGUACCACACAAAUUGAAUGCACAGAACUAAGAUAUAUUUGGCAUGGAGCAUUUCCUAUUGAACCUCUGAAAAAAUUAUAUUAUUAGUUAUAAAGAUCGUUGACAGGUUAUAUCAUAACUUAUAUGGCCCUAUAUAAACGGCUAUUUGUAAAUAUAACCAGAGCCGUUAGGCGAGGGUUAUAUUGCAAACAGCCAUUUAUAUAUGGCCAUAUAACCUGUCAACAAUCUUUAUGACGAAUUUAUAAUACAGCAAGCAUUAUUUUUAAAGAAAAAAAGUAGGAUUUCUUGAUGAAUCGACAGCAGCCGUGUAAAUAAAACUUAAACGACACGAUUAUCCAAUGAAAAAUGACGUUACAAACGUGCAGUAUUAUAAAGUUCUAAUCUGAUGAAUAAGUAGGUCACAGGAGCUUUAAAUUGAUUUUAAAGGGUAGAAAUUGACCCUGCUUUAGCAUAUUGUAUAGAAUGAUACACCCAUUUUGACCAAAUUAUUUACUUUUGAUUUAAAAAAUUUGGACCUAUUAUAUCAUUAUCUUGGGUGAACUUCCAAAGCCAUCAUGUCCCUCUUGUUUUUAUUGGUGACAGUUUAGUUUUUACUCUUGUAUUUGGAUAUUGGAGUUAUGUAAUAUAGUUAUUCUUCUGAGGUUAGGUUAUUUGUAUUUAAAGAAUUUUUUUUUCUCAAUUGUUUUUAAGGUUAUGAAUAGUUAAUUUAUUAUGUAUGUAUUAGUCUCCUGUAAUUUUUACCUAGAAAUUGGCUACUGCUAUGCAUUUUUAUAUAAAAAUGAGCCGCACCAUGACAAAACCAACAUUUGCGUUUGCGACCAGCUUAGAUCCAGACCAGCCUGCGCAUCCGGACAGUCUGAUGAGGAUCCAUGCUGUUCAUUUUAAAAACCCUGUUACAAGUAGAGAAAGUGAAAGUGAACAGUGCGCAGACUGGUCUUGAUGCAUGCUGGUCAAAAACACACUAUGUUGCUAUUUUCAUUGCGCGGCUCAUAUUUUUUAUGCCACCGCAGCAUCUGCGAUGCGAUGGCAUAUAGUGAUUCACCUGUUUGUGUGUAUGUAUGUGCGAGGGCUCUUCAAAGAGUUUGUGGACUGCGGCUCUAAUGUUCACAUCUUUUAAUUUGCGUACACAAUUUUACAAGAGACAAAUCUGGAAACAUGUCCAUAAGAUAUAGUGAAAAAAAUCAAUAAAAUUUGUUUACAAAUAACAAUUCUGUGUAAAUUACAAGUAACAAGGGGUACAUGACCUGGCACAUGGUAAUGAUAAAACCAAAUGACAUUUUGGACGUUGUAAUUUCAAUUAAAAAUGUCACCAGCUUCUGAAAGUACAUUUUUGAGUGUUCUAUGUCUCCAAAUGAUGAAACCAUUACAAUUUUUCUGUUUGUUAUGAUGUAGUGUUAAAGAAAGCUGUCACCUUUUUAAUCCAUUCCUGUUUUCGUGUCCGGUCCAUAACUUUGAUAUUUAUCAAAGGAAUUUGAUAUAACUUUGCACAAAUGUUUAUUAUAAUAAGAGGAUGUGUCAUGCGCAACAACCAGACCCCUACCUCCAGGGUCAAGGUAGCACUUGCUCAUUCAAGGUCAACAUUGUCUAUUUGAGGGUAUAUGUCAUGUCCGGUCCAUAACUUUCUUAUCUAUGAAGGAAUUUUGUAAAUACUUGCCAUAAUUGUUCACAAUAAUCAGACAAUGUGUCAUGCGCAAAAAACGGUCACCUACCUCCAAGGUCAAGGUCACACUUGGAGGUCAAAUACUUACAUAGUCUGUUACAGGGUAUAUUUUGUGUCUGGUCCAUAACUUUUUCAUAGAUCAAAGGAUUUUGAAAAUACUUCGCACAAAUAGUCACUAUAAUUAGAGAAUGUGUCAUGCGCAACACCUGCAUCCCUACCUCCAAGGUCAAGGUCACACUUAGAGGUAAAGAAUUAACAUAGUCUGUUAAAAGUGGAUAUUUUGUGUCGGAUCUGGAACUUCUUCAUAGUUCAAGGGAUUUUGAAAAUACUUUGCACAAUUAGUCAAUAAUAAGACGUUAUGUCAUGCACAACACCUGCUCCCCUACCUCCAAGGUCAAGGUCACACUUACAGGUUAAAGCUUAACAGAGUCUGUUAUAUAGUAUAUUUUAUGUCCCGUCCAUAACUUCUUCAUAGAUCAAGGGAUUUUGAAAAUACAUGGCACAAAUAGUCACAAUGAUAAGAUGAUAUGUCAUGCAUAUCACCUGUGUCCCUACAUCCAAGGUCGACCUUCAAACCACUUGCCCCUCACCGCUGUGGGUUCGAAUCCCGACAGGGACUUUGGAUUCUUUCAUGUGAGGAAGCUAUCCAGCUAGCUUACGGAACGUCGGUGGUUCUACUCAGGUGCCCAUUCGUGCCUGAAAUAAUGCACGGAAGGGCACCUGAGGUCUUCCUCCACCAGUAAAGCUGGAACGUCGCGAUAUGACCUAUACUGUGUCGAUGUGACGUAAAACCCAAAACAAAACAAACAAACAUCCAAGGUCAAGGUCACACUUGGAGGUCAAAGAUUAACAUAGUCUGUUAUAUGGUAUCAUAUCAAUAUGGUAUCCUUUGAUCGAUCAAAGGAUUUUGAAAAUACUUGGCACAAAAUGUCUAUAAUAAGACGAUAUGUCAGGUGUAAAACAUGAGUCCCUACCUCCAAGGUCACACUUGGAGGUCAAAGACAUAGUCUGUUUUAGGGUAUAUUUUGUGUCCAAUCUAUAACUUCUUUAUAGUUCAAGGUAUUUUGUAAAUACUUGGCACAAAUAGUUACAAUAAUGUCAUGUGCAACGCCUGCACCCCUUUCUCCAAUGUCAAAGUCACACUUAGAGGUCAAAACUUAACAUAGAUUUUUAAAUUCCAUGUUUCAUUUUAUUUCUUUAAUAAAUUUAUUGUUGCAGUUGCAGAUCUAGCAUUGAUCAUAAUUUUGGACUGAAAGUCCUGAGAUUCAUACCUAAAUCUUUUAAAUAGCACAGUUUUAUGCUUCAUAUGAAAGUUCCCUGAGGCGGGGGACGUUGGUAACUCUGUUAUAAAUUCUUGUAUUUGUAUAGUAUAAUUGUUGUUUACAACUCUCCAUAUCAUGCUUUCUGUAAUAUGUUAAAGUUAUGUUAUGCUCUAUGUUUGAAAUUUGCUACACAGUCUCAUUUUAAAUUGUCCACUACCCAAGGGGGUUAUUGAUUUUUUUUUAUAUGUAUAAAGUAAAACUUUUAAAAAAUUAUUUAAAAAAAAACUAACAGCUUGUGUUUAGAUAUUUAGCAUGAAACAUCUUCUAAUGAGUAUCUUCCAAAUUUCUUCAAAUAAUUUGGGUCAAAAUUGGCUUCUUUGACAUCUUUUGGAACUGUUGUUUUUCCCUUAAAGCUACAUGCCUCUAGAUGAGCCAAAAUAUUUCAAGAAAUUCAAUCUUAAGAAAAAUGUAUUAAGAUCUUGAGAAGAGAAAAAAGGUUCAAUAUUUAAUUAAUUAUUAACAUCUUAUUUGCAAUUAAUGACCGAUUUUGCAGUAUCAAUCACUAUAUUUCUAAUGCAUUACUAACACAUUAAAAGGUAUUUACUAUUUAUGUAUAUUUUGACCACUUUUUGGUAAUUUACAUGGGUUGUAAGUGCCAUUUGAAAUUUGUAAAUUACUUUUAUUGUUCACUUCACAAUAUUUUUCAUUUAAAUAUAUUUUCAAAAUUUUCAUGAAAAUUAGCAUGAAUCUGGAGACAUGCUGCUUUAACAAUAGCAACCACUAAUGUUUUUACUAAUGUACUCUUUUAGAUACAAAUAUGAACUUUGUGAUAUCAGUUUAAGAUUUUAUAUCUGUUUUUGUUUAUAUUUUACAAUAUUACUUGUUCCUUGCCAUUUGAAGUUUUAUAUUCAGGUGAGCUACUUCAGGGCCGUCACGGCCCUCUUGUUCCUUUUUGAGGUUGUGUCAAUAAAAUUCAGGUUAAAAAAAGAGACCUUCAAAUUGUUAAGUAUCCUACUAAUUGAUUGUCUCAUCAGUUUUAUGUUCAGAGUUUUUUCAGUUUUGUUGAGACAGAUGAUAGUAGGUCCGACACUUUUUAUCAUGCCCCCACAAUGUGGGAGCAUAUAGCGUUGCACUUGUCCGUCCAUCCGUCCGUACUUCUGUUCAUCCGUCCGUCUGUCUGUACGUCCCGAAAUCUUGUGAACGCAACUCCUCUUAAACAGGUUGGCAAAUUUUUACUUAAACUUCCAGGGAUGAACAACCUUAAUGUGUAGAUGGUAGUAAAGGAAGGAAUUUUUGCUGCGACCAAAUUUAACAGAAUUAUGGCCCUUUGUUGAUUUUUUCACUAUAUACCAUAUAGAAAUUUUGUGAACGCAACUCCUCUUAAACUUGUUGGCAGAUUUUGCUUAAACUUCCUGGGAUGAAUAAUUUAUUGGAAAAUGAAUUAGGUAUUUGAAUUCUUAACAAAAUCUUAUUGAGAAGUGCAGUGUGUAAUUGCCUUUCGUAUAUUAAAACAGUCUUACUACACUUAUCUAUAUUAUUUUUUGUGAGUUGAUAUUCAUUUGUUGUAAACUUUUAGGCAACUGAUUUCAGAUUUUUAAACCAUUUUUUUUGUUAUAAUUCACAUUAUGUUAAAUAUGUUAUGUAUAUUCAAUUACUGAAUGAAUAAUAAAUAUAUAAAAAAAAGCUUUUACA